rnacentral:lncRNA from 1 species
AUAUAUUUAUGCGUAUACGUAUACACUUGCAUCCGUUAUAUAUACCUUGAUAUGCACACGCACAUGCAUCUUUAUUAUGCAUUGAUAAGUUCAUAUAUACAUUAUAUAUACACUGAUAUAUAUGACCUUUCAGACACUUAUUAUCAGUUUAUCAGUUAUUAGCUUAUAUGUACACUGAUAUGUAUAUACGUAUACUCAUAUACGUAUGUAUAAUAUAUAAGCGAGUGUAUGUGUCUGUGAGUGAGUGAAUGUGUCCAUGUGAGUGUGUGUGUGUGUUCGUGAGUGUGUCUGUGAGUGUGACCGUGUGUGAGUGACAUAUAUAUUGACAAUAGUAUAA